rnacentral:rRNA from 1 species
UACAGAGACCUCAAGCGUUAUCCGGAAUCAUUGGGCGUAAAGCGUACCGAUAGGUGGUUUUACAAGUCAGAGGUGAAAUCCCAAGGCUCAACUUUGGGACUGUCCUUUGAAACUGUACAACUAGAGGGGCAAAGAGGAAGCUGGAACGAACGGUGUAGUAGUGAAAUGCGUUGAUAUCGUUCGGAACACCAAUAGCGUAGGCAGGCUUCUGGGUGCCACCUGACACUGCUAGGACGAAGGCCAGGGGAGCAAACGGG